rnacentral:rRNA from 1 species
AUUGAACGCUGGCGGCAGGCCUAACACAUGCAAGUCGAGCGGUAGCACAGGAGAGCUUGCUCUCCGGGUGACGAGCGGCGGACGGGUGAGUAAUGUCUGGGAAACUGCCUGAUGGAGGGGGAUAACUACUGGAAACGGUAGCUAAUACCGCAUAACGUCGCAAGACCAAAGAGGGGGGACCUUCGGGCCUCUUGUCAUCAGAUGUGCCCAGAUGGGAUUAGCUAGUAGGUGGGGUAACGGCUCACCUAGGCGACGAUCCCUAGCUGGUCUGAGAGGAUGACCAGCCACACUGGAACUGAGACACGGUCCAGACUCCUACGGGAGGCAGCAGUGGGGAAUAUUGCACAAUGGGCGCAAGCCUGAUGCAGCCAUGCCGCGUGUAUGAAGAAGGCCUUCGGGUUGUAAAGUACUUUCAGCGGGGAGGAAGGGAGUAAAGUUAAGUAACCUUGCUCAUUGACGUUACCCG